rnacentral:rRNA from 1 species
UGGGGAAUAUUGCACAAUGGGGGAAACCCUGAUGCAGCGACGCCGCGUGAACGAAGAAGGUAUUCGUAUCGUAAAGUUCUGUCCUAUGGGAAGAUAAUGACAGUACCAUAGAAGAAAGCUCCGGCUAAAUACGUGCCAGCAGCCGCGGUAAUACGUAUGGAGCGAGCGUUGUCCGGAAUUAUUGGGCGUAAAGGGUACGCAGGCGGUUUAAUAAGUCGAAUGUUAAAGAUCGGGGCUCAACCCCGCAAAGCAUUGGAAACUGAUAAACUUGAGUAGUGGAGAGGAAAGUGGAAUUCCUAGUGUAGUGCUGAAAUACGUAGAUAUUAGGAGGAAUACCAGUAGCGAAGGCGACUUUCUGGACACAAACUGACGCUGCGGUACGAAAGCGUGGGGAGCAAACAGG